rnacentral:tRNA from 1 species
GGCCUGUUAGCUCAGUUGGUUAGGGAGUGUUGCUGAUAACGCCAAGGUCGCGGGUUCGAUCCCCGCUCAGUCCC